AUUGAACGCUGGCGGCAUGCUUUACACAUGCAAGUCGAACGGUAACAGGCCGCAAGGUGCUGACGAGUGGCGAACGGGUGAGUAAUGCAUCGGAACGUGCCCAGUCGUGGGGGAUAACGCAGCGAAAGCUGCGCUAAUACCGCAUACGAUCUAUGGAUGAAAGCGGGGGACCGUAAGGCCUCGCGCGAUUGGAGCGGCCGAUGUCAGAUUAGGUAGUUGGUGGGGUAAAGGCUCACCAAGCCAACGAUCUGUAGCUGGUCUGAGAGGACGACCAGCCGCACUGGGACUGAGACACGGCCCAGACUCCUACGGGAGGCAGCAGUGGGGAAUUUUGGACAAUGGGCGCAUGCCUGAUCCAGCAAUGCCGCGUGCAGGAAGAAGGCCUUCGGGUUGUAAACUGCUUUUGUACGGAACGAAACGGUCCUGGUUAAUACCUGGGGCUAAUGACGGUACCGUAAGAAUAAGCACCGGCUAACUACGUGCCAGCCGCCGCCGUAA
rnacentral:rRNA from 1 species